rnacentral:rRNA from 1 species
UACGUAGGCAGCGAGCGUUGUUCGGAGUUACUGGGCGUAAAGAGUGCGUAGGCGGUUUUCUAAGUUUGGUGUGAAAUCUCCCGGCUUAACUGGGAGGGUGCGCCGAAGACUGGAAGGCUUGAGUAUGGGAGAGGUAAGCGGAAUUCCUGGUGUAGCGGUGAAAUGCGCAGAUAUCAGGAGGAACACCGAUUGCGAAGGCAGCUCGCUGGGACGUUACUGACGCUGAGACGCGAAAGCGUGGGGAGCAAACAGG